GCUCCGUAGGUGAACCUGCGGAGGGAUCAUUACAGAGUUCAUGCCCUAACGGGUAGAUCUCCCACCCUAUGUUAUCAUCACUUUGUUGCUUUGGCGGGCCGUCAGGCCUCGGCUUGGCUACCGGCUCUCGCUGGUAAGCGCCCGCCAGAGAACCCCAAACCCUGAAUAUCAGUGUCGUCUGAGUACUAUAUAAUAGUUAAAACUUUCAACAACGGAUCUCUUAGUUCUG
rnacentral:misc_RNA from 1 species